GCAUCAGAAUGCCGCUAUGUUGCAAAAAACCCCCUCUGUUUUGCCUGAAGUUGACUAUAGGAGAAUGCCCUGUGACACAAGAAAAUCUGAAGAAAAACAAAAAUAGCAAGCAAAAUGCAUAUAAAUGUAAUUUUCUUCAUGCUGAUACAUGCUGUGAAGGAAAACUGUGAAAGUAGCUAAAAGUCGAGGAUAAUAUAUAUAUCACCAGAUCUUGGGGGUAUUUUUGUAUUUGGUUUGGUUUCUUUUUUUUUUUUUUUUUUUUUCCAUAAAGUUUAUUUUCUUCUUUGGAGCUUUCACUGCAAAUCUUACAAGUUUGGGCUCUCUGUAUAGCACUCAAAGUAAAUCUUUAGGGAAGAAAUACUAUUAGACUUCAAGAUAAAUAUUUGCCCUCAAAUGUUGGUGCAAAUAAUGUGUCCAACACAUCAGGUUUUUGAGCUUUUUGUACCUCUGAGAUAUCUUUAGCUGUGUUGGGCAAAUAUUGAAAUUAUAAUUCUCCCAUUAUUCCUAUAUCUAGGAUUAUGCAUAAAAGCCUUAAAUGAGAAAAAAAGGCUGUUUUGUUCCCCGAAUACCAAUUUAAUUAUGUUGAUGUUGAAGAUAUGCACAAUUGAAUUAUAUUUGCUAUGAGGAGAUGAAAGAAACUUGUAAACCAAAUUACUUACGGAUCACAGCUGAUGAGGCCAAAUUCUGUACUUAAUUCUGCUUAUUAUUUUUUUUUCCUCAGAGCUGUUAAUUGUAGGAACUGAACCUUAAUGUCAGAUAUUUCAUUCCUUUCCAUUUUAUUCCUAUUUUAAAGAAAUUUGUAUUUUGAACUUCCAAGAGUCCACUAGUGGUCUAAUGCAAUACAUCAAUCUACUGUAGUUGUAUGCCAUCACACCUUUACAGCACAUAAAUAAGAAAAUCUAACUCAAGUUUUCUUACAAAAUUAGUGGUUUUAAGGUACUGUAUGGUGAUAAUUUCCACUUCCCAAAUGACUGUGAACUGGAAGCUUAGGAAGCAGAUGACAGAGUUUAUUUCACAGUAUCACAGUAUCACAAAGUAAUGUUUGAGACCAUGACAUUUCCCUAACACUUCUGACAUAAAAAGUUAGUUUCGCUGCAAGAGUGUUAUAAAAUUUGGCAUAAUGGAGUUAGUUUUUCCAGGACUACUAACUUCCGAACUACCAAACUUGGAAGCAGGAACAAAGAUGACUUGUUUCUCACAGAGCUUACUGGUAGUUCAGAUACCAAAAUAUACCUGUAAAGUUCCUUUUUGAAUAUUUUCAAAUACAAUGUUUGGCAAUAAAUAUAUUCCAUUUCAAUAGAAAAUGAAAAUAUAUACAAAUGUUUCACAAAAAUCCAUUUUUGUAUAUGUACUAAUGUGUCAAUCC